AGUUGGGCCUGGCAUUUCCCUUCUGCCCUACACAGGGCCUCAGGGGUCCUAGGACAAAGAAAGGCCUCGUGCACAGGGUCUCCAGUCCCGGCAAUUGGAAGUGAGGGGCUGCUGUCACCUUGCCUCCCACCUCCCAUGGCUCUGAAGUGAACCCACAAGAAUGAAAUGACCAGGAUGGGAGCCCUCCCUAUGGUUUCCAGCAGAUCAUCACUGCAAACCACCUAAUGGUGCCUUCACAAUGAGAAGUUAUCAUCUGGGAGCUGGUGAGGUGGCUUAAUGGUUACAAACACUGGCUGCUCUUACAGAGGAUCUAAGUUUGGUUCCCAGCACCCACAUGGAGGCUUACAACCACCUUUAACUCCAGUUCCAGAGCAUCUGAUACCUUCUUCCAGCCUCCGAGGGCACCAUGUAUACAGGAGGUUGCAGUCCUGUCCUAAACACCUCUAAUCUCACCCUACACCUUCAUUUAUCAAAGAAGAGGGUAACAUCUGGUGUGGUGCUAUACUCCUUUGAACUCAGAACUAAGCAGAGGCAAAGGCAGAUGGAUCUUGCAAAGCCGAGAAUCUCUCUCCCAGGAAGUAGAGUUCUCCGAAAGAACGCAGGCUGCUGCAGGCAAUGGCAUGGAGCUUACUAACCAUGGAAAUGCGGCUGCAGCUGGUUGGGACUGCCGCCUUCCCAUCGGUGCCACACAUCUAUCUUCCGCCUUUGCCUGACUGGCUCCAGCUUGUCUGCUGUCCUUCACGUUCCUCUUCCUCACGAGGCUUCCCAACCUUCACUAAAUCGUGGACUCCACUGCUCCGUCUCAACUUGCCUCUCCUUGACAUGGAGUCUCAGCUCUGACAAGAACCCAUUUGUCACCUCUUUUCCCCCCAGCACCCUGGCCCACACAGGCCUUUUCCUGGAAUCUGCCAUCUGCCUCCCCAACAGCUCAGGAGGCCAUCAGCCAAGGUGAGAAGAGAGACCAAAGACAGCUUGUGCCUGGACACAGAGGGGAAGAUGGCCAGUAGGACAGAGGCUCGGCCUGAGGACCUGCCCAUCAAAAAUCCCUGGUUGAUGAUAUCACGAAUCACAACAGGAAACAGCUUCACAAAAGAAGCCUACAAAGGGGCUGGAGAAAUGGCU